rnacentral:rRNA from 1 species
GACGAACGCUGGCGGCGUGCCUAAUACAUGCAAGUUGAGCGCUGAAGGUUGGUACUUGUACCAACUGGAUGAGCAGCGAACGGGUGAGUAACGCGUGGGGAAUCUGCCUUUGAGCGGGGGACAACAUUUGGAAACGAAUGCUAAUACCGCAUAAAAACUUUAAACACAAGUUUUAAGUUUGAAAGAUGCAAUUGCAUCACUCAAAGAUGAUCCCGCGUUGUAUUAGCUAGUUGGUGAGGUAAAGGCUCACCAAGGCGAUGAUACAUAGCCGACCUGAGAGGGGGAUGGCCAACAUGGGAACGGGAACCCGCCCAAAACCCUACCGGGAGCAGCCAGUGGGGAAUUUUCGGCAAUGGCGGAAAGCUUGACCGAGCAACGCGGGGUGGGGGAGGAAGGUUUCCGGAUCGUAAACCUCGGUUGGUGGGGAAGACGGUUGGGGGGGGUGAAAAGCCCAUCAGGUACGGGAACCAACCAGAAAGGGACGGCUAACUACGUG